rnacentral:rRNA from 1 species
AGUGAACGCUGGCGGCAGGCCUAAUACAUGCAAGUCGAACGGCAGCACGGCAGAGCUUGCUCUGUGGGUGGCGAGUGGCGGACGGGUGAGGAAUACAUGGGAAUCUGCCCAGUCGUGGGGGAUAACGUAGGGAAACUUACGCUAAUACCGCAUGCGCCCUUCGGGGAAAGCCGGGGACCUUCGGGCCUGGCGCGAUUGGAUGAGCCCAUGUCGGAUUAGCUAGUUGGCGGGGUAAUGGCCCACCAAGGCGACGAUCCGUAGCUGGUCUGAGAGGAUGAUCAGCCACACUGGAACUGAGACACGGUCCAGACUCCUACGGGAGGCAGCAGUAGGGAAUAUUGGACAAUGGGCGCAAGCCUGAUCCAGCCAUGCCGCGUGAGUGAAGAAGGCCCUCGGGUUGUAAAGCUCUUUUGUCCGGAAAGAAAAGCGCCGGGUUAAUACCCUGGUGUCCUGACGGUACCGGAAGAAUAAGCACCGGCUAACUUCGUGCCAGCAGCCGCGGU